UGAAGGAGGCGGUGCCUACCUACUCCGGGGGCGUGGCUGGGGCCCGUGGGCGGAGCCUUGGGCAGCCUGUCUUAAAAAAGUCGUGCCUCACGCUGAACAGUCUCUCACUGGUGUGUGCUUGAGGCUCAGUGAAAGGAUGGAAGUGUUUGUCACUAUUAGGGCUUCCCUGGUGGCGCACUGGUUAAGAAUCCACCUGCCAAUGCAGGGGACAUGGGUUCGAGCCCUGUUCCGGGAAGAUCCCACAUGCUGCAGAGCAACUAAGCCCAUGCACCACAACUACUGAGCCUGCACUCUAGAGCCCACAAGCCACAACUACUGAAACCUGAGUGCCACAAUUACUGAAGCAUGCGCGCCUAGAACCUGUGCUCCGCAACAAGAAGCCACCGUAAUGAGAAGCCUGCGCACCUCAACGAAGAGUAGCCACCGCUCGCUGCAACUAGAGAAAGCCCACGCACAGCCACAAAGACCCAACGCAGCCAAAAAUAAAUAAAUAAAGUAAAUAAAUUUUUUUUAAA